CUGCGCCUGCGCCAUGGGCCGGCCGUGGGGGGCGGGAAGCGCUUCGCGGCGGCGGAGCCCAUGUCGGCCCUGAGGCGCUCGGGCUACGGCCCCAGCGACGGCCCUUCGUACGGCCGCUACUAUGGGCCCGGCGGAGGCGAUGUCCCGGUGCACGUACCCCCGCCCUUAUACCCUCCUCUGCGCCCCGAGCCUCCCCAGCCUCCUGUUUCCUGGCGAGGGCGCGGGGGCGCCCCGGCCGAGACCACCUGGCCCGGGGAAGGCGCAGGUGGCGAUGCCUACUACCCCUCGGGAGGCGCCUGGGCAGAGCCGGGGAGAGCCGGAGGCGGACACCAGGAACAGCCACCAUAUCCUGGCUAUAAUUCUAACUACUGGAAUUCUGUGCGACCGAGGGCCCCAUACCCAAGUGCAUAUCCUGUGAGACCAGAGUUACAAGGCCAGAGUUUGAAUUCUUAUACAAAUGGAGCAUAUGGUCCACCAUACCCUCCUGGUCCUGGACCAAAUACUGCCUCAUACUCUGGGGCUUAUUAUGUACCUGGCUACACUCAAAGCAAUUACUCUACGGAAGUUCCAAGCACUUACCGAUCACCUGGUAACAGUCCAACCCCAGUCUCUCGUUGGAUCUAUUCCCAGCAGGACUGUCAGACAGAAACGCCUCCUCUCCGGGGUCAGGUCCCAGGGUACCCUGCUUCACAGAACCCUGCAAUGACCUUGCCCCAUUAUCCCUAUGGAGAUGGUAACCGCACUGUGCCACAGUCAGGAUCGACUGUCCGACCACAAGAUGAUGCCUGGGCUUCUGGUGCUUAUGGGAUGGGGGCCCGUUACCCCUGGCCUUCAGCUGCACCCUCAGUCGCACCUGGGAAUCUCUACGUGACAGAAAGUGCUUCAGCCUGGCCUGGCAACAGUUCUCCUCAGCCACCUCCUUCACCGCCACCCCAACAAGCUAAGGACUCCUCCUACUCCUAUAACCAGUCGGGUCAAGGCAUGAGCCGGCAUGGCUUUCCUUGCAGUGUCCAUCAGUAUGAGUCUUCGGGAGCAGCGAACAAUGAGAAUUCAGACCUUCUGGAUUCUCAAGUCCAAUACAGUGCUGAGCCUCAGCUGUAUGGUAAUGCCACCAGUGACCAUCCCAGCAAUCCAGUUCAGAGUAAUAAUCUCCCUGAAGAGUGUUUCUCUUCAGAUGAAGGCACGCCUCCAAGUAUUAAAAAAAUCAUACAUGUGCUGGAGAAGGUCCAGUAUCUUGAGCAAGAAGUCGAAGAGUUUGUAGGGAAAAAGACAGACAAAGCAUACUGGCUUCUGGAAGAAAUGCUGACGAAGGAACUCUUAGAACUGGAUUCUGUUGAAACUGGGGGCCAGGACUCAGUCCGUCAGGCCAGGAAAGAGGCCGUCUGUAAGAUCCAGGCCAUACUGGAGAAAUUAGAGAAAAAGGGAUUAUGAAAUAAUUUGGAAUGAAGGGUAAGCCUGUUACUCUUGUGGCCAAAGAACUCUUGGAUUUGGUUAGUUCCCAUCUUUUGAAAUGCCUGUUGUGACAAGAGCAACACAUUCCAACUUCUGACCUAAAACCUGAAAGGAAAAACAUGGAAGGCUGGCAGAGGACUGUUCAGAUGACUGAACAGAACAGGAAACUGGAGUUACCAGUACUGCCAAGAAGACCACUGCUUAAGAAAUCCAUGGGCGUCUCUAGGCUGCUGCUUAUCAGCAGGAGGGAAAUAGACUUUCCGUAACAGGUUCUCAAAGCAUAAUCUGAGGCUGUUUUGUAAGCAUCCAGACUGUCACAUUUUUGUGCAUUGUGACUGCAUAUGCUUCAUGUGUAAAUUAAUUAUAGCUUAGACUCUUGGACCUCGGUUUCGUUCACAAAUGUAAUACUACUCUACUUCUUGGUACAUUUUGUAGUACUAUGUUUAAUAUAAUCGAAUACCGGCAGCCAGAUAGAUGGGCAGUUCUGAACAGUCACACCCUUUCCUCACUGGAAUAUCCUGCAGUGUGUAGUGAGCUCCUGAAGUCAAUCAUUAUCUCCUUUUUGUGUAGCAUGUUAUGUUAGAGUUCUUCCCACUUCUGCUUUUCAUAGGAACCGGGAAGGACUAUGAACUUCAAGGUGGACAUUGUACUAACUACUUUCCUGUUCCAAGUUCAGAGUGGGCACAUGGACUGACUGGAGUUCACAAAGAGGGACACCCCUGGACUCUUGAGAUUUGGGAGAGGCUUCCAAGAGUAACAAGAACAAAACUAUUUUCAUGGAACCACGAGAAUCACAAUUAAGGUUAUGGUCAUCUUUGGCUACAUAGUGAGCUUGAGGCCAGUCUGGGGUACCUAAGAUCCUCUCCCAAAAGAAAACAAUAAACUAUUUUAGAACUCAAGCAAUAACAAAGCAAACUCACAAAUAAAUCCGAGAUAUACUGGAUGGAUUGUUAAUGGUAUCAGGAUAUGAGAAAUUUAUUAAUAUGUUUUCAGAUUCCAAAUUGCAACUCACUAUUGAUAAGCAUCACUUGUUGGGCUUAGAGGCAGCGCUCUUGCCUAGGAUACCCAAGGCUCCGAAAUUGAGUUCGGAGCCCUGCAAAGUAAAAAAGAAGGUCUAGGGCCUGGAGCCCUAGCUCAGCAGUCACCAGCAACUGUUGCUCUUGCAGAGAGAGCACCAGGGUUUGGCUACCAGCACCAAAGUUUACAAUCACCUGUAACUUCAGUUCAGGGGAUCUGAUGCCUCCUGGCCUCCACGAGCAUGAGGCACACACAUGAUGCACACACAAACAUGUAGACAAAACACUCAUAUACACAAAGUAAAAUAACCUAAAAAAGACUAAAUGCCACUAUUAAUAUUAAUCUCUCUCUC